GUCACAUGUAGGUAAAUGAUAACUUAAAAUGUGGCAAAUGUAACAGGAGCUUCUGCUUCCACCCAAGAUGAAUAAAUUGGGACAAGAAUUGUCCUCAUGCUAUAAACAACUAGAAAAAUGAAAAAAAAAUGUAUGAAACAACAGUUCCAGAUGUUGGAGAAAGGACAGAGGAGGAUAUGCUGCCAGAGAAAAGGUAUUCUCCAAGCUUGGCAGCUCAAAUGAAAUGGGUCAGCAGGACAAUAAUGGCAACGUAGGACCAUUAACAAACAGAGUCAAACAAAUAGCAAUAGCUUUUCAAUACCAUCAAAACAUAUUUAAUAACUCCUCAUCAAAGGACUUAUUAUGUAGUAAUAGCCUCACAAGAACAUCACCUUCAAAUACUGAGGAUAACAAUGAAAUGUUUUCCCAAUAAAAGAACACUGAAAUUAAUGAAAAC
rnacentral:lncRNA from 1 species